rnacentral:rRNA from 1 species
UUUUUUCGAUAAAGGGCGAUUUUAUUAUCUCAAAUGUAGCAUCAAGCGGAUACAAAACAUUAUGAGUAACACCCGGCCUCUGCAUAACUAUGAUGCACACAGCCAAACACCAAAGUCUGACACUAGAAAAAGUAAGAAAACCGACAAAACGGCAACAGUAGAGUCCUAUGGACCGACACUUUGCCUAUGUCGAACUCGGCGGUGGAUCGAUCCGGAGGUUAUGCUGCCACCCAUGUUGGGAAAAAACCUCCAUAGCCGCCUGCUCCAACCGCGUACACACCGCCUUGAACAGCGGUUGGUGCUCCGCCUGUUGUAGCGUAGACCACGUAUGAAGCGAGUGCGUACAACGGAAAAUAACCUGCAGAGGAGAAGCAUUUUUUUCAUUAAAAAUCAAAUCAUUUCUACAUAGCCAAAGCGACCAUAGUAAGGCAUACGCCCCCACCCUUAUUAGCGUUUUGAAACUAUUUGAAAUUCCGUCCAACCAAUGACCAAAUAUAUUGGCAAUACUCGUUGGCGGAUACAAAUUUGACGCUAUUUGGAUGACUGACCAUGUAGAACGUGCAAACUUGCAUUG